rnacentral:rRNA from 1 species
AUUACGGAGAGUUUGAUCCUGGCUCAGAACGAACGCUGGCGGCGUGCUUAAUACAUGCAAGUCGUGCGUGAUUCUGGGGGCAACUCUGGAUGAAAGCGGCGAACGGGUGAGUAACACGUAAACAAUCUGCCUGCAGAUUCGGGAUAACCUUGCCAACGCGGGGCUAAUACCGGAUGUGGUCAUAGAAUCGCAUGGUUUUAUGAUUAAAGGUGACCUCUACUUGUAAGUUAUUGUCUGCAGAUGAGUUUGCGUCCCAUUAGCUUGUUGGCGGGGUAACGGCCCACCAAGGCUUUGAUGGGUAGCCGGCCUGAGAGGGUGAACGGCCACAUUGGGACUGAGAUACGGCCCAGACUCCUACGGGAGGCAGCAGUAGGGAAUUUUGCGCAAUGGGCGAAAGCCUGACGCAGCAACGCCGCGUGAGUGAUGACGGCCUUCGGGUUGUAAAGCUCUGUUGUACGGGACGAAAAGGUUCAUGGCUAAUAUCCAUGUUCUAUGACGGUACCGUGCGAGGAAGCUCCGGCUAACUACGUGCCAGCAGCCGCGGUAAUACGUAGGGAGCGAGCGUUGUUCGGAAUUACUGGGCGUAAAGGGAGCGUAGGCGGGUUUGUAAGUUAGGAGUUUAACGCGUGGGCUUAACCCACGUUUGGCUUUUAAUACUGCGGAUCUUGAGUUGGGGAGAGGAUGAUGGAAUUCCAGGUGUAGCGGUGGAAUGCGUAGAUAUCUGGAAGAACACCGAUAGCGUAGGCAGUCAUCUGGCCUUAAACUGACGCUGAAGCUCGAAAGUCGGGGGAGCAAACAGGAUUAGAUACCCUGGUAGUCCCGACCGUAAACGUUGAACACUAGUUGCUGGGAGAGUCAAUCCUUUCGGUGACGUAGCUAACGCGUUAAGUGUUCCGCCUGGGGAGUACGCCCGCAAGGGUGAAACUCAAAGGAAUUGACGGGGGCCCGCACAAGCGGUGGAGCAUGUGCUUUAAUUCGAUGCAACGCGAAGAACCUUACCUAGGCUUGACAUGGGGGUGUAAGUCCGUAGAAAUAUGGAACCUUCCGCAAGGAACGCCCUACACAGGUGCUGCAUGGUUGUCGUCAGCUCGUGUCGUGAGAUGUUUGGUUAAGUCCAGCAACGAGCGCAACCCUCGCCCCUAGUUGCCAGCGGGUAAUGCCGGGAACUCUAGGGGGACUGCCCAGUUUAACUGGGAGGAAGGUGGGGAUGACGUCAAAUCCUCAUGGCCCUUACGCCUAGGGCUAGACACGUGCUACAAUGGCCGGUACAGCGAGCAGCCAGCUGGUGACAGUGCGCUAAUCUCUCAAAACCGGUCUCAGUUCGGAUAGGAGUCUGCAAUUCGACUCCUUGAAGUUGGAAUCGCUAGUAAUCGCGGAUCAGCAUGCCGCGGUGAAUACGUUCCCGGGCCUUGUACACACCGCCCGUCAAGCCACGAAAGUUGGCAGUACCCGAAGUCGCUUCCUUAACCGUAAGGAGAGGUGCGCCUAAGGUAAGGCUGAUGAUUGGGGCUAAGUCGUAACAAGGUAGCCGUAUCGGAAGGUGCGGCUGGAUCACCUCCUUU